AUUGAACGCUGGCGGAAUGCUUUACACAUGCAAGUCGAACGGCAGCACGGACUUCGGUCUGGUGGCGAGUGGCGAACGGGUGAGUAAUGUAUCGGAACGUGCCCAGUCGUGGGGGAUAACGUAGUGAAAAUUACGCUAAUACCGCAUACGAUCUAUGGAUGAAAGCGGGGGAUCGCAAGACCUCGCGCGAUUGGAGCGGCCGAUAUCAGAUUAGGUAGUUGGUGGGGUAAAGGCCCACCAAGCCAACGAUCUGUAGCGGGUCUGAGAGGACGACCAGCCAGACUGGAACAGAGACACGGUCCAGACUCCUACGGGAGGCAGAAGUGGGGAAUUUUGGACAAUGGGCGAAAGCCUGAUCCAGCCAUUCCGCGUGCAGGAUGAAGGCCCUCGGGUUGUAAACUGCUUUUGUACAGAACGAAAAGGUUUCUACUAAUACUAGGAGCUCAUGACGGUACUGUAAGAAUGAGCACCGGCUAACUACGUGCCAGCAGCCGCCGUAA
rnacentral:rRNA from 1 species